UAAGGAUGAACCAUUACCGAAAUUUUCUCAUUCGAUAAAGAAAUUUGGAAGCUAGAUUCAACAAAGAUUUUUUCUCAUUAAUUAAAGAAGAUAGAUUGAUCACCUCAGUGAGAGAGCAAUAAAGGUGAUCCUUAACAAGCACGUUUCACUACUUUAUAGUUAUUCUUUGCUCUCUUAUUCUAGCGACCAAUAUUAAUUGAUACUUUAUCUCUGAUUUUGGAAUUUGGGUAAACUUACAUCUGAAUUUUUGUAACAUUUUAUUGUGUCUGUAUUGAUCCUAUGCAUGCCGUGUUCCUUCAAAUAUAGAAUAAAAUGAUAUAAAAAGAUAUAGAUUCAGAUGUAUGCUUCAUUUGUUGAUUACAUGACUUUUUGAUUUUUGAGUAUCCUUGCCACCUACACUAAAUCUCAUUGCCUCUGCGUCAGAAUAGUUAGAGCUGCUCAUUUUAUGCUGUUUUGUAAUUAGUAUUAAAAAAAAAAAAUUAAAGAGGUCGAACAUUUUAGGAUGAUUUAUUUGAGUUUAAUAUUUUAGGAUAAAAUUCAAAUCAAUUUUUAAUCUCUUAUGUCUUCAAGAUUUGAACUCCAAUGAUAAAUUAAAUAAAUCUGUUCGAAAACCACUUGACGAGGAUCACAUUAGUUUAUUAAGACAAAAUCUAGUUUAAUUUUUCGUAACACAUGACUUUCAUUUUUUUGUUAUGAUUUUAUCCUUAUUAAUUUCAACAUUAAUUAUUGCUCUUACUCUAGUGAACAUUAACAUCUGGAGAAAUUUACAUAACGAGCCCAAAAAUUUUUAAAUUUUUUGAAAUUGAUCCCUCUAACUUUUUCUAUCAUAACUAGUCAAAUACAAUUUCUUGAACACGUUUACCCUUAUCGAAAACUCAGUCUCAUCUCUCUUCAGCCCGCAAUGAACGAACAAAAUCCUAAAGUCUUGAGAUUGUCAGCAGUACUGUGACGACAUGUCGGCAGGGACGAAGGCAGCUUCAGCUUUCUAUUUCUUGUGCACUUCAUUUGACAGUAGCUUCUCUAAUUAACAAUGAUAGCAUGUUUUGACGAGUAAAAUCUAAUUUGUUGCUGAUGUGAAAUUGAAUUGCUCUAAUUUUAUAGAAAUUAUUGGUGAAAAAAUAGUGUAUUCUAUUUGUAUUAGUGAAAAAAAUAGUAUGUUAGGUUUGCAUUAGUAAAAGAACGAACAAUUGUGGUAAAUAUGUAAAUAUAGUUUAAGGUCAAUUAUUGCACAUAAGUGUUUAAGAAAUGUGUGUGAGAGUAUUUUUUUUUUCAUUAUUUGAGCGUUUGAAAUGAUAUGUAUGGUGUGUGUUGUGUUAUUGUUGUGUUACAUGGUAUGAGAAUGGUGAUGGUGGUGGCUAACCACCGAGAUGAUAAUGAUGAUGAUUUUGUGGUGUUUUGUGUGUGGGUGUGUUUUGGUGCGAUAGGCACCAUAGGAACCAUUGUUUUGGUCUAUCGCACUGACGGAAAAUUCAAAUAAGGUAUUGUAUGAAAGUGAUGUAGUGGGAGUCUAAUGUUCUAAUAUGUCAUUGAUUCUUAAAAAAUCGGAAUAAACAAAUAGUUUAAAUUCAUAUUGAUUCAUAAUAAUACUGUGAAUAUAGGAAUUAAGACUCCUUGAUUCUGCAAAAUGCCGAUAAUUAACUAAAUUAAAAAACUCACACAGAUAUUUGAAAACUGAAAAUGUUAUUGAACCCAAAUUGCUUCAAAGACUACAAGUGAAGAUUUAUUUAUGCUACUAGUAAUUAUCCUAAACCACAAAGAAAAGAAAAACAAAGUCCUAAACUACUAUAAAAAGAAGAAUAAAUCUUAGACAAUAAGAUAACUAAUCUAAAUAGGAUAAGGAUUCCUAAUCUACAACAUAAAGUAUGAUUUCUUCAAUUCUCACAUGAGAAUAGAAGGAUUUUUGUUCUGAUUGAGUCGGUUCCAAGAUUUUUUUUUUUUUUUUGUCUACCUAUUUUGGUGUGAUGGCCCAUGGCACUUAGACAUAGGCACAUAGCACACUAAUAUGGUGUGUAUGGGUAUUUGGUACGAUAGGCAUGUGCUGAGACACAGUUGUAUAGAAGCACAAUUGCUAUGUUUUGGUUUUUUUUAAUCUUUUAAUUAUUACCGUAAUUUUACAAAUGUUAUUAUUAACCAUUUUACUAUGUGAUUUAUCAUAGAUACAUGGGGCUUCUCCAAUUGAGAAAUCAUAGGCGGAGAUAGAUAAAGUGGCAUAGUAGUGCUACACGUACCCGUCUCCCAGGGUAUAAGACCAGAGGUCCUUGUCGCCCGAGCUUAAGUGGUACAGGUACAUGUCGCACUUGUGUGUCGUCUUCUAGUUCAUUUUUACUUAAAAUUUAUUUGUUUGAACCGUUUUUUUAAUAUGUCAACUCAAACUUAGUAUUGUAUGAACCCAAAAUGUUAGAAAAAUAUAUAUAUAAUGACACUGACAUCAAUUUGUUGAGAAUGGUGAAAUUUGAAGAUUAGUUGAGACUAGUAUCGUUUUGGUGAAUUGUUGAGGGUGGUGGGUAUUUUCAUCCAAAAAUUAGAUAUUUGACUAGCUAUAUAUGAUAGAAAAAUUUAAAGGGCUGCUGUACCGUACAUCCGCCUUGGCCGUACAGCAGGUCUUUAUCCAUAAUUCUAAUAUAAAAAAUUUAGUUACACAUAAUUAAACUGGGGAUAAAAGAAUAGAUAAAACCUUAAGGGGAAAUCAAUCCGAGCGGAUGGCUCUUUCUCCAAGCCGUCGCUGCUGCUGCGCUUCAAUUCCUCUUGGGCGCUGCAAUUCCACCCCUCUUUCUGUGCAAAAGCCGAAGACUUGGCUUAGGCCACCGACUUCCCAAAUCAAAUCAAAUUCUUUUAUUAUUUUGAUUAUAGCCACCGUCUCCUGCAAAUCAAGGAAAUAAAAACCUUGCAAUGGGCUCUUAUAUUAAAAUUUAUCAUUAAAGAUAGUUAAAGAUUCUUAAGAAAAAAUUAAUGAAAGAAUUAAUUAAUUAAUUAAUUAUAUAAAAUUUUUAUUAAUUUGUGUUUAUUAAAAUAUUAUGAACUCAUUGUAAUUAUUCCUUAAAAAUGGGAUGGAUUUAUAAAAAUAAGAGGGUGGAAAAUACAGACUCCGAUCCACUAUUAGACAAAACACGUUACAUCGGAAUUGAUGUUUUUCUCCUUGUUUUUUUUCCCUGUUUUUUUUCCCCGUGAGUUUUUUUUUUUUGAAAGGAAACUUCCAUUAAUUCGAAGAGGAAAAGAGAUACAUCAAUUGUGAAGGGUAGGAACCCAUCCAAACAACAUUUUCACAUUUCUCUAAUGCUAACUUAGCUAGAGAGUGGGCAAUGGCAUUACGAGAUCUAUGAGUAUAAUUAAUGCUAACUAGCUCAAAAUUUCUCAUUAAGUUUUGAAUCUCCAAAAUUAUCCAAAAGAUCUCGAACUUGCCGCCUUGCUUGUUGUUAACUAACUUGACUACGCUUUGAGCGUCUGAUUCAACAAUUAAAGCCUUUGCACUUGCAUUCCUAGCAAUCUGUAAUCCCCAUUCCAAGGCUUCUGCUUCAGCAAAGGAAACAUCUCCAUUAAAUUUCGAAAUCUUAAUUGCAGCUGCUAUAAUAGUCCCCUGAUCAUCUCGGAUUAUAGCUCCCAGCCCUGCAAGAUGCUUUUCUGAGCUUGUAGCAGCAUCCACAUUGACCUUAACAAAUCCAUUUUGGGGGGGAUUCCAAACCUGCUGAGUCUGCACCUGCUGACUUUCCUUUCGAACUUGCUCUGGUUUUUGAACUCUUUUGUAAGCCUCCAAUACUGCUUCAGCUUUAGCAACCAGAGCCUGGGGGUUUUCUCUUUUUCCUUUAAAAAGCAUCUCAUUUCUUGCAUUCCACACCAUCCAACAAAUCAUAAUCAUUAGUUCUAAAUCAGCUUUGUUUCUUCUGCUGUACAAUUCAUGCAGCCAACUCAAAAAAUCCUGCCCAGCAGUUUGCAUGAUGUCAUUCUCAAAUAGAGUGAGUCUCCAGAUUUUCCUUGCAGCUUUACACUCUACCAAUGCAUGAAACACAUUCUCCACUCCGAGCUUGCAUACUUGGCACGUAGGCUCUUGGAUAACUCUUCUCUUCCACAAAUUUUCAGCAGAAGGAAGAAUAUUCUUG
rnacentral:lncRNA from 1 species